rnacentral:rRNA from 1 species
UGGGGAAUAUUGCACAAUGGAGGGAACUCUGAUGCAGCGACGCCGCGUGAACGAAGAAGGCUUUCGAGUCGUAAAGUUCUUUUAUAUGGGAAGAUAAUGACGGUACCAUAAGAAAAAGCCCCGGCUAACUACGUGCCAGCAGCCGCGGUAAUACGUAGGGGGCUAGCGUUGUCCGGAAUCACUGGGCGUAAAGGGCGUGUAGGCGGCUAGAUAAGUGUGAUGUUUAAAUCCAAGGCUUAACCUUGGGGUUCAUUACAAACUGUUUAGCUUGAGUGCUGGAGAGGAUAGUGGAAUUCCUAGUGUAGCGGUAAAAUGCGUAGAUAUUAGGAGGAACACCGGUGGCGAAGGCGGCUAUCUGGACAGUAACUGACGCUGAGGAACGAAAGCGUGGGUAGCAAACAGG